UGUCAACAUGAAACAUGUUACUUAACAUCUGCGAUAUAGCUGGCGCUUCAAUCUGCAAUGAAAGUUAAUGUUUUGCCUCCACGACCAGCGGCCCCAACAUGCCCCACUGUCUAUUUAGCCAUCAUCUAGAUCAAGUGUGUCCAAUUGCCAGCCAUGAUUCAUUGCUACAGAAAUCCAUCCAAACAUCAAGAUCUGGAACAAUGACUUUUGGAUGUAGUUCGUGUUAUUUUGGUCCUACCUAUCCAAUGGACUCCCAGAUAUUAUUCAAGAACUGGUACUUAUGAUGUUCGAAAAAAAUCGACCUAUGUGAAGGAGCAGACAUUACUUUUGUGUGUAUUCCAUAGAUUGGUUGUGGCUGUUUGAAUGUGUAUGUGUGCAACUAAAACAAAUAUCUGGUAUUAACAUUUGUACAGAUCAGUUUAUGCUUAGUACUUGCACUGAUUGUAUUACAUUGCUGAAUAUUUGAGUGCUUGUACCAAUUCUAUUA